AGUAAUGAAACUCAUGUCUUUAACAAAAAUGAUACUAUUUCGGCUUUCUCUAUCAGUCCCAAUGAUGAGGUUUUAACUUCAUUUUAAUGCUUAGAAGUGCAAAAUAGUGGUAGAUGAGAGAGAGGGUGUGGGUUAUAUAGGCAGGCUGGCUUGUGAUUUACAAUUAUUUUAUACAGACUGGCCACAAAUGAUCAAUUAGCAUGCAUGAAUUAAAACGGUCUAUUCAUACAAUGAGAUACUCCUCGGCAAUAAAAAGGAAUUACUGAUCUAUACAACCAUGUGGAUGCAUCUCAAAAACUUGUUGAGCAAAAGAAGCCAGACACAAAGGAAUACACUCUGUAUGACUCCAUUCACAAGUUCUUAAACGGGCAAACUCACCUACAAUGAAACAAUCUGAAUAGUGCUUGUCUCGGUGGGUGUGAGAGGAGAAGACUGAAGCAUGAGGGGACCUUUUAGGUAGGUAGAAAUGCUAUAUUGAUUUGGGUGUUGAUGACAGGACCUACAGGUUUGUCAAAACGACUAGAAUGGUGCACUUCAGAUUUGUGCAUUUAGCCACAUGUAAAUUAUAACACAAUGAAAACAAUUAAAAAACAUUUCCUGGCCUUUGGUUGAGCUAGCUUUCUUCAGAACUGGCUGACUGCCUGCUGGUCUGCUAUCUGAGAUAACUAACAGCAUAGGUAUAUCUAGCAUAGAGCCGUAACAGCAGAUUGUAUAACAUGCAAAUUGCUUUAAGCCGAAGAGCUAAACAUUUAGGGUUGUCCACAUGUGAUGUUAUUAAUCAUUUAUUAUGUAAUACUUGCUCUGAAAUACAGAUGACACAAGCAAAUUCCAUCAAUAUUCUUUUGAAUUUUUUAUUUAUCCAGAGUGUUUUUAAUAGGAGAAGUGUGGACCAUAUUAAUCCAUGCUUCACUUAAAUUGAUUCUUCAAAUGACUUACUCUUUUCUAAGCUGCUCCCUAGGAACCCCUUUUGUUAUAAAAAAGUAAAUUAACACAAUAAAAUCGUUUAACUCUGGCCCUGUAAUAUGCCACACAUAAUAACUCACAUACACCUAUAAAUAUCUUUCCACGAUGCUAUUGGAGAGUAUUUCUGUACAAUUGGCGUGUACCUGAUUGGAAUAUUAUGGAGCUCUGAUUAGGCUUCCUCCUGCCCCUUUUAUUCCUACAACAUCUACACUAUAAGAGUGACUGCAUCUUAGAGUAGCCGACGUCUCCUGGAAAACUGAACUGAAGUAGUUGUGUUGAAGGCUGAAGUAAUUCUGAAAGACAUAUAGCGUACAUUUUCAUCCUAAUAUUCCUUCUAUUCUGAUUGAGAAUAAGGAUCAUGAUUAUUUUCAUUAUUCAUCUGCUCCUCUUGUUUAUCUCUUUCCUGAAGUCUUAAUCCUCUCCUUGAAACAUCCCAGUCGGUUGCUAUGGAAAUUAUUAUUUUGCCACAAACAGAGAAUGAUGACCUACAGUAAAGAAUAAGCAGCAGAAGCCAAUGAACUCUUGGAAAAUAGCCUUGCUAACACCGAAAGAAGACUGACACUAUUAAAACUUUUCUUAACAGAGUGACCCACGUAGCAAGGACUGGAAGAGAACACUAUUCAUUCCUGCUUUAAGUGGCCACUAAACAUGCAGAAGGUUUCCUCUGAACCGAGAGUUGAAGGAUAUGGUGCAACAAGCCCUUUUCCUGGCACUGGAAAGUGAGGCCAGAGCUGCAGAAGAGGCAAUGGUGAAGGAAGUGCUGUGGGGCCAUGCUUGGCCCCCUCACGUGGGCCUUCAGCUGGCGCUCUUGAUUCCAGGUCCCAGCCCUUUCUACCAUGAAGGUAAGCCGUAAAGUCUGUUGCCAGGGAUUGGGGAGGUUAGUAUUAAAGAAGAUUCUGGAGUACAGAAGCAGGAAGAUAUGCUGUGGAGAUGCUGUUGGCAGAAACAGCUGGCCUUGACGGAGCAAACCAACAGGAGCAGAGGCCACCGAGUGGAGGCUGACGCCCAUGCACAGGUUUGGGCAGCUCUUCCCCACACAUCCACGUGGCUCACUUCCUCUCUUCCAUCAGGGUUCUGCUCACAUGUCACCUCCUCUAGGAGGCCUUCCUUGACUACCCUGUCCCCACUCCCACCCCCUACCCCUGCAUUCCCUGUCCCCCUUACUCUAACUGUGGUUUAUCUUACCUGACAUAGAACAGGUUUAUCUCCCUGUUGUCUAGCAGGCUUUUAAUCUAGUUCUGCUUUGCUGGACUGUAUUAAAUGAGACCCAGUUCCUGGGGUUUAUCACUCUGAACGGAUGGACCACAUAAAAAUGGGAUUUUCGUGUUCCCACUACAGCACUUUCUGGUGGAGACCACAUCUCCCCAUGUGCAAUGUUCUACUCCCAUCUCACUCUUACCUCCUGCUGAGCUGUUUUCUCAGAGCAUGAGUCUGAACAGAACAUCUAUUGCUUUGUGCCCUGCUGGAGGACAAGCUUCACAAAAGCAGUCUAUGUUGUUGCUGUUGUUGUUUAUUGCUGUCUUCCUAGCUUCUAGAAUAGCUUCUGGCAUGGCACACAGUGUCAUGAGUAAAUUUGUGAGUAUAUAUAAUGGACAAGGUUGGGAGAAGAAAGUUAGUUUGGAAAUGGGAGAGUUUAGUGGGAGACACAGGGCCCUGACUACCUCACAAAGCAGCAGUCCUAUAAGAGGACAGAGUUUCUGUUUUUCUCCCUGGCCUAAGACUUGUACUGGUCUUUUAGCUUGAAUUCAUGGGGCAAGAUGGCGGUGGUAAAAAGAUAAAGGCGUUUUUACCCAGGUAGACAGUUUCUUUUUCUGGAGACAAGAAUUGAGAAGGUCUACCAGAUUCUGGCAGCGAGGAGACUGUUUUCAGCACUGUGAAUUUUUGCCAUCCUAUGUAUUUUAGUAGGGAGCUGAGCAAUGCUGUUUUAGGGUUUCCAUUCAGAUUUUCCAUUUCAAAUUGGGCAUCUAUUUGCACCUUUAAUUUGGGUAACAAGCAUUUCACAGAGAAUACAAAGUUGAACUAUGAGCAGCUUAAUUCAUCCGCUCAAAGGCAGACAAGAGGCUGCAGGUCCAAGUUAUGCCUAUACUAUACAAUAGAGAGUAUUUUAAGUGUUUUGUCAUUGCUUCCAAGUUCAUGCAAAUGCUUCUUACUAAUUUAUAUUGGCCACAUUCACUAUUCUUGUUUGAUAUACAUUAGUGAGUUUUCACUCUUUUAAAGAAAAGAAACCUCCAUGAUUAACUAAAACAUUUAAA